rnacentral:rRNA from 1 species
GACGAACGCUGGCGGCGUGCCUAAUACAUGCAAGUCGAGCGAAGUUUUUCUGGUGCUUGCACUAGAAAAACUUAGCGGCGAACGGGUGAGUAAUACGUAAAGAACCUGCCUCAUAGACUGGGAUUACUAUUGGAAACGAUAGCUAAUACUGGAUAACAGUACUUCUUGCAUGAGAGAUAUUUAAAAGUUGGUUAUGCUAACAACAUGAGAUGGCUUUGCGGUGCAUUAGCUAGUUGGUGGGGUAAAGGCCCACCAAGGCGACGAUGUAUAGCCGACCGGAGAGGGUGAUCGGCCGCACGGGAACUGGGACAGGGCCCAGGCGCCUGCGGGAGGCAGCAGUAGGGAAUCUUCCGCAAAAGGCGAAAGCCUGGCGGAGCGACGCCACGUGAGUGAAGAAAGAUUUCGGUGCGUAAAGCUCUGUUGUUAGGGAAGAAUGGAUAUGUAGUAACAAGACGUGUAAGAGACGGUACCUAGCAAGAAAGCCACGGCUAACUACGUG